rnacentral:rRNA from 1 species
CCUACGUGAGGCAGCAGUGGGGGAUCUUGCACAAUGGGGGACACCCUGAUGCAGCGACGCCGCGUGAGUGAAGACGUCUUUCGGUAUGUAAAGCUCUAUCAGCAGGGAAGAAAAUGACAGUACCUGACCAAGAAGCCCCGGCUAACUACGUGCCAGCCACCGCGGUAAUACGUAGGGGGCAAGCGUUAUCCGGAUUUACUGGUCGUAAAGGCAGCGUAGACGGUUGUGUAAGUCUGGAGUGAAAGCCCGGGGCCCAACCCCGGGACUGCUUUGGAAACUGUGUAACUGGAGUACAGGAGGGGGAGGCGGAAGUACUGGUGGAGCGGGGAAAUGCGUAGAUAUCAGGAGGAACACCGGCGGCGAAGGCGGCCUGCUGGAAUGAAACUGACGUUGAGGCUCGAAAGCGUGGGGAGCAAACAGGAUUAGAUACCCGUGUAGUC